rnacentral:rRNA from 1 species
UACAGAGGGUGCGAGCGUUAAUCGGAAUUACUGGGCGUAAAGCGCACGUAGGCGGCUUGGUAUGUCGGGUGUGAAAUCCCCGGGCUCAACCUGGGAACUGCAUCCGAAACUGCCUUGCUAGAGUAUGGGAGAGGGAAGUGGAAUUUCCGGUGUAGCGGUGAAAUGCGUAGAUAUCGGAAGGAACAUCAGUGGCGAAAGCGACUUCCUGGACCAAUACUGACGCUCAUGUGCGAAAGCGUGGGGAGCAAACAGG